rnacentral:lncRNA from 10 species
GUGGUUGCUGGCUGUUACCAGGACAACCGGAGGCGAUUGACCGUUAUCUGCGGUUUGGAGCCGUUAGCGGGAGAGGCAGAGAUAUUCAGAGUGAAUUGAAAAGACAGGAUGAAGUGGACACAGCAUGUGAAGACAAUUCUUUCAAGAAGUUUGGCUGUCAAGGAAAACAGAGAAUGUAUUAUCAGCAGGGCGUGGUGGCUCACACCUAUAAUCCCAGCACUUUGGGAGGCCAAGGCAGCCAGAUCACCUAAGGUCAGGAGUUCAAGACCAGCCUAGCCAACAUGGUGAAACCCUGUCUCUACUAAAAAUAUAAAAAUUAGCUGAGUGUGGUGAUGGGCGCUUGUAAUCCCAGCUACUCAGGAGGCUGAGGCAGGAGAAUCACUUGAACCCAGGAAGCAGAGGUUGCAGUGAGCCGAGAUCGCACCUCUGCACUCCCACCUGGACAACAGAGCGAGACUCCAUCUAAUAAAUAAAUACAUAAAUAGGUAUUAUGGUGUAUAAUUCCUGAUUUUUCGGUUGCUCCACAUCCCUUUCAGGAAACCACCACUCACCAGCCUUAGCUGGUUCAAGUGAGGCUGAUUCCCAACUGCCCACACUGCCCCCAUUCCUACACUUGAUUCAGA